GCCGGGUGUGGCGGUGCAUGCCUGUAGUCCCAGCUACUCAGGAGGCUGAGGCUAGAGGAUCGCUUGAGUCCAGGAGAUCUGGGCUGUAGCGUGCUAUGCCAAUCAGGUGUCCGCACUAAGUUUGGCAUCAAUAUGGUGACCUCCCGGGAGCAGGUGACCUCCCGGGAGCAGGGGACCACCAGGUUGCCUAAGGAGGGGUGAACCAGCCCAGGUUGGGAACAGAGCAGGUCAAAACUCCCAUGCUGAUCAGUAGUGGGAUCGCGCCUGUGAAUAGCCACUGCACUCCAGCCUGGGCAACGUAGCAAGACCCUGUCUCU
rnacentral:SRP_RNA from 1 species